rnacentral:rRNA from 1 species
AUGAUGUCGCACCCGAUGCACCCGGCGGCCGUGGCCCGCAUGCUGGCGGCCAACGGCGUCGACCGGGUCAAGCUGUUCGACGCCGACCCCUGGACCGUCUCCGCGCUCGCCGGCUCCGGCAUCCAGGCCAUGCUCGCCGUCCCCAACGACCACCUCGCCUCCGUCGCCCGCGACCCCCGCCGCGCCCGCGACUGGGUCCGCGACAACGUCACCCGCAACCUCGACGCCGGCGUCGACGUCAGGUAUGUGGCUGUUGGCAAUGAACCAUUUCUGAAGAGCUACAAUGGCAGCUUCAUCAAUAUUACCUUUCCUGCGCUCAAGAACAUGCAAAGAGCUCUAGAUGAGGCUGGAGUAAUGGUCAAGGCUGUUGUCCCCCUGAACGCUGACGUCUACAACUCCCCUGAGAACACACCAGUGCCAUCUGCCGGGAAUUUCCGCAAGGAUAUCAACACCCUCAUGGUUUCCAUUGUCAAUUUCCUCCACAGGAAUGAUGCGCCUUUUGUUGUCAACAUCUACCCGUAUCUGAGCCUCUACCAGAACGCAAACUUCCCGCUGAACUUCCCCUUCUUUGAUGGUGGUAGCAAGCCAGUCUUUGACAAAGGGUUGGUAUACACCAACGUGUUCGACGCCAACUUCGACACCCUUGUUUGGUCGCUAAGGAAAGCCGGCGUGCCCGACAUGAAGAUCAUAGUCGGUGAGAUCGGCUGGCCAACAGACGGUGACAAGCGCGCCAACGUCAAGUAUGCACAGAAGUUCUACGACGGUUUUCUGAAGAAGCUGGCCAGAAAUGUCGGGAUGCCUCUGAGGCCCGGUCGCAUGGACGCCUACCUGUUCGCGCUGAUCGACGAGAACCAGAAGAGCGUGCUGCCGGGGCGCUUCGAGCGCCACUGGGGGCUCUUCACCUACGACGGGAAGCCAAAGUUCCCCAUGGACCUCAGUGGGAAUGGCCAGGACAGGUACCUGCUCGGGGUGGAAGGGGUGCAGUACCUGCCAUCCCAGUGGUGCGUGUUCGACAAGGACCUGAAGGAUAGGUACAGGGAGCUGCCAGCCUCCGUGAACUACGCGUGCUCGAACGCAGACUGCACCGCGCUGGGGUACGGCUGCUCGUGCAACGGCCUCAGCCAUGACGGCAACAUAUCGUACGCGUUCAACAUGUAUUUCCAGACCAUGGAUCAGGACGUCAGGGCGUGCUCGUUCGGAGGCCUCGCGAAGAUCGUGACGACGAAUGCGUCUCAGGGAGGAUGCGUGUUCCCGGUGCAGAUUCUGAGCGCUUCGGAAAGGGUGGUGCCGCUGAGAGUUUUGGCCGCGUCCUUGGUUCUUUUGGUGGCUGUGUUCAUCCUCAUGUAG